rnacentral:rRNA from 1 species
UACGGAGGAUGCAAGCGUUAUCCGGAAUGAUUGGGCGUAAAGCGUCCGCAGGUGGCAAUGUAAGUCUGCUGUUAAAGAGUCUAGCUCAACUAGAUAAAAGCAGUGGAAACUACAUAGCUAGAGUACGUUCGGGGCAGAGGGAAUUCCUGGUGUAGCGGUGAAAUGCGUAGAGAUCAGGAAGAACACCGGUGGCGAAGGCGCUCUGCUAGGCCGUAACUGACACUGAGGGGCGAAAGCUAGGGGAGCGAAUGGG